GGAAUUGACGGGGAGCACCACAACGGGUGGAGCUUGCGGUUUAAUUGGAUUCAACGCCGGAAAUCUUACCGGGACCGACAGCAAUAUGAAGGCCAGGCUGAAGACUUUGCCGGAUUAGCUGAGAGGUGGUGCAUGGCCGUCGUCAGUUCGUACUGUGAAGCAUCCUGUUAAGUCAGGCAACGAGCGAGACCCACGCCCACAGUUGCCAGCGUACUCUCCGGAGUGACGGGUACACUGUGGGGACCGCCGCUGCUAAAGCGGAGGAAGGAAUGGGCAACGGUAGGUCAGUAUGCCCCGAAUAUCCCGGGCUACACGCGAGCUACAAUGGUUGGCACAAUGGGUAUCUACCCCGAAAGGGGACGGAAAUCUCCUAAAACCAAUCUUAGUUCGGAUUGAGGGCUGCAACUCGCCCUCAUGAAGCUGGAAUCCGUAGUAAUCGCGUUUCAACAGAACGCGGUGAAUACGUCCCUGCUCCUU
rnacentral:rRNA from 1 species